rnacentral:rRNA from 1 species
CCAAUAGCGUAUAUUAAAGUUGUUGCAGUUAAAAAGCUCGUAGCUGAAUUUCGGGAUUGACGUGAUGGUCAUGCCUUAAGGGGUAUGAACUGUUGCAGUUGAUUUCUCACCUUCUGGAAAAACUUGAUGUCCUUUAUUGGGUGUCUUGCGGAUCCAGGACCUUUACCUUGAAAAAAUUAGAGUGUUUAAAGCAGGCAUUUUUGCUCGAAUACAUUAGCAUGGAAUAAUAGAAUAGGACGGCAUGGUUCUAUUUUGUUGGUUUCUAGGAUCACCGUAAUGAUUAAUAGGGAUAGUUGGGGGCAUUAGUAUUCAAUUGUCAGAGGUGAAAUUCUUGGAUCUAUUGAAGACUAACUACUGCGAAAGCAUUUGCCAAGGAUGUUUUCAUUAAUCAAGAACGAAAGUUAGGGGAUCGAAGACGAUCAGAUACCGUCGUAGUCUUAACCAUAAACUAUGCCGACUAGGAAUCAGGCGAUGUUAAUUUUUUAAUGACUCGUUUGGCACCUUACG